UACGAAGGGGGCUAGCGUUGUUCGGAUUUACUGGGCGUAAAGCGCACGUAGGCGGAUCUUUAAGUCAGAGGUGAAAUCCCAAGGCUCAACCUUGGAACUGCCUUUGAUACUGGGGAUCUUGAGUCCGGGAGAGGUGAGUGGAACUGCGAGUGUAGAGGUGAAAAUUCGUAGAUAUUCGCAAGAACACCAGUGGCGAAGGCGGCUCACUGGCCCGGUACUGACGCUGAGGUGCGAAAGCGUGGGGAGCAACAGG
rnacentral:rRNA from 1 species